AUCCAUCUGGUGAAUCUCAAAUAGGACGGAACACGCGUCCUGGAU
rfam:Schistosoma haematobium scaffold1339_3, whole genome shotgun sequence.